rnacentral:rRNA from 1 species
GAUGAACGCUGGCGGCGUGCCUAAUACAUGCAAGUCGAGCGAACAGACGAGGAGCUUGCUCCUCUGACGUUAGCGGCGGACGGGUGAGUAACACGUGGAUAACCUCCCUAUAAGACUUGGAUAACUUCGGGAAACCGGAGCUAAUACCGGAUAAUAUAUUGAACCGCCUGGUUCAAUAGUGAAAGACGGUUUUGCUGUCACUUAUAGAUGGCUCCGCGCCGCAUUAGCUAGUUGGUAAGGUAACGGCUUACCAAGGCAACGAUGCGUAGCCGACCUGAGAGGGGGAUCGGCCACACUGGAACUGAGACACGGUCCAGACUCCUACGGGAGGCAGCAGUAGGGAAUCUUCCGCAAUGGGCGAAAGCCUGACGGAGCAACGCCGCGUGAGUGAUGAAGGUCUUCGGAUCGUAAAACUCUGUUAUUAGGGAAGAACAAAUGUGUAAGUAACUAUGCACGUCUUGAUGGUACCUAAUCAGAAAGCCACGGCUAACUACGUGCCAGCCGCCGCGGUAA